rnacentral:rRNA from 1 species
UCCGUAGGUGGAUAAUUAAGUCAGGGGUGAAAGUCUGCAGCUCAACUGUAGAAUUGCCUUUGAUACUGGUUAUCUUGAAUUAUUAUGAAGUAGUUAGAAUAUGUAGUGUAGCGGUGAAAUGCAUAGAUAUUACAUAGAAUACCAAUUGCGAAGGCAGAUUACUAAUAAUCAACUGACACUGAUGGACGAAAGCGUGGGGAGCGAACAGGAUUAGAUACCCUGGUAGUCC